AGCAAUGAUCACUUGUAUGCUCCCAGGCAUACAACCACUUACUAAAUGUAGAAGCCAAAUGAACAGGUAAAUUGUUGAUCAUCCCUCAGGCAGGAGAGUCACUAGGUGGGAUCAUUUGCAUUACCAUCCUUAAACUCUUCAUCACUAAUCACCCUAUUGACAACAUGCGCACUUGUAGCGCCUAGCUUCCUUCACCAAGGAUAAAAAAAAAAAAGGUAACAUCUCAAGCAACUUUUCAUUUUUCAUCUCGCAGUAUGCAUAUGCAGCCACUGAAAAGCAGCUGAGUCCCAGAAGCAGCUUCUGUAUCUCCCCUGCAAUGCCACCAGGAGGAUUAUAGCCCCCAUGACCCAGAAGGCAACAACCUAAAGGAUUUUUGACAGUGCCUCCCAGAGACAGCAUUCUGUUCCAAGCACUGAAGUUUCUUGAUUUGGAGAGAAAGCUGAAUCCUUUCUUUCUCCAUUAAGUAUAAAGGGAGAUAUUAUUUUCUUACAUGAUAAAAUAUAUGUCAGACAGGGUGAAAACCUGCAUCACAACCUCCUUGUUGAGAAACAGCCAUUGGGAAUGAACAUGCAAGUAAAGGGGUGUAGCUGGAC
rnacentral:lncRNA from 1 species